rnacentral:lncRNA from 1 species
UACUCAAGCCGAUGCUGAUUUGGCGAAGGCAGAAGCGGAGUCGGCAAGGGAGGCAUUGAGUCGGGCAAUCAAAAAUUUUUGAAGUUUGAAAGAAUUCAAAGAAGAGAUCCUCGAAGGUGGCUUCCACUCGUACUGCAUCGGAUAUGAAGACGGUCGAGAUGCGAUCAGAAAAUUAUAUCCGAACCUCGACUUGAGCAGCAUCGUCCCUCCA